UACAGGGGGUGCAAACGUUGCUCGGAAUCAUUGGGCGUAAAGCGCACGUAGGCGGUUCGUUAUGUCGGAUGUGAAAGCCCUUGGCUUAACCGAGGAAGUGCAUCCGAAACUGGCGAGCUAGAGUACGAAAGAGGAUCGCGGAAUUCCCGGUGUAGAGGUGAAAUUCGUAGAUAUCGGGAGGAACACCGGUGGCGAAGGCGGCGAUCUGGGUCGAUACUGGCGCUGAGGUGCGAAAGCGUGGGGAGCAAACAGG
rnacentral:rRNA from 1 species